GGGUUGUGAGGUUAAGCGAAUAAGCGUACACGGUGGAUGCCUAGGCAAUCAGAGGCGAUGAAGGACGUGCUAAUCUGCGAAAAGCGUCGGUAAGGUGAUAUGAACCGUUAUACCCGACGAUAUCCGAAUGGGGAAACCCAGUAUCCAAUGGAUACUAUCAUUAACUGAAUCCAUAGGUUAAUGAGGCGAACCGGGAGAACUGAAACAUCUCAGUACCCCGAGGAAAAGAAAUCAACCGAGAUUCCCCUAGUAGCGGCGAGCGAACGGGGAGCAGCCCAGAGUCUUAAUCAAUAGCAGUGUCAGGAGAACGGUCUGGAAAGUCCGGCAGUAAAGGGUGAUAGCCCCGUAUCUGAAGAUGCUGUUAUUGUGAACUCGACGAGUAGGGCGGGACACGUGUUAUCCUGUCUGAAUAUGGGGGGACCAUCCUCCAAGGCUAAAUACUCCUGAUUGACCGAUAGUGAACCAGUACCGUGAGGGAAAGGCGAAAAGAACCCCGGCGAGGGGAGUGAAAAAGAACCUGAAACCGUGUACGUACAAGCAGUAGGAGCCCCAUCACUCAAGUGCCUCGCACUGAGUGAUGCAAGAACAUCACCGAAAAUAGCGCCGAAUUUGCUAACAAGGUUGGUCGAUUUUUUCAAGCCGUCGCGCAGUGUACCUAGAAGUACACGAGCAACGGAAGUUAAAAAAUCGGGCAAGAUUGAACGCAAAGGCAAGCGGGACAUUUGAGGAUGGGGUGACUGCGUACCUUUUGUAUAAUGGGUCAGCGACUUAUAUUCUGUAGCGAGGUUAACCGUAUAGGGGAGCCGUAGGGAAACCGAGUCUUAACUGGGCGAAUGAGUUGCAGGGUAUAGACCCGAAACCCGGUGAUCUAUCCAUGGGCAGGUUGAAGGUUGGGUAACACUAACUGGAGGACCGAACCGACUAAUGUUGAAAAAUUAGCGGAUGACUUGUGGAUGGGGGUGAAAGGCCAAUCAAACCGGGAGAUAGCUGGUUCUCCCCGAAAGCUAUUUAGGUAGCGCCUCGUGAAUUCAUCUUCGGGGGUAGAGCACUGUUUCGACUAGGGGGUCAUCCCGACUUACCAACUCGAUGCAAACUGCGAAUACCGAAGAAUGUUAUCACGGGAGACACACGGCGGGUGCUAACGUCCGUCGUGAAGAGGGAAACAACCCAGACCGCCAGCUAAGGUCCCAAAGUCAUGGUUAAGUGGGAAACGAAGUGGGAAGGCUCAGACAGCCAGGAUGUUGGCUUAGAAGCAGCCAUCAUUUAAAGAAAGCGUAAUAGCUCACUGGUCGAGUCGGCCCGCGCGGAAGAUGUAACGGGGCUAAACCAUGCACCGAAGCUGCGGCNNNNNNNNNNNNNNUUGUUGGGUAGGGGAGCGUUCUGUAAGCCUGCGAAGGUGUACUGUGAGGUAUGCUGGAGGUAUCAGAAGUGCGAAUGCUGACAUAAGUAACGAUAAUGCGGGUGAAAAACCCGCACGCCGGAAGACCAAGGGUUCCUGUCCAACGUUAAUCGGGGCAGGGUGAGUCGACCCCUAAGGCGAGGCUGAAAAGCGUAGUCGAUGGGAAACGGGUUAAUAUUCCCGUACUGGUGGUAACUGCGAUGGGGGAACGGAGAAGGCUAGGUUGUCCGGGCGACGGUCGUCCCGGUUCAAGCAGGUAGGCAGAGUGAUUAGGCAAAUCCGGUCACUUAAUGCUGAGAUGUGAUGACGAACCACCAAGGUGGUGAAGCAAUUGAUGCCCCGCUUCCAGGAAAAGCCUCUAAGCUUCAGGUUACCAACAAUCGUACCCCAAACCGACACAGGUGGUCAGGUAGAGAAUACUCAGGCGCUUGAGAGAACUCGGGUGAAGGAACUAGGCAAAAUGGUGCCGUAACUUCGGGAGAAGGCACGCUGGCGGUAGGUAAAGUCCCUCGCGGACAGAGCUGAAGCCAGUCGAAGAUACCAGCUGGCUGCAACUGUUUAUUAAAAACACAGCACUGUGCAAACACGAAAGUGGACGUAUACGGUGUGACGCCUGCCCGGUGCUGGAAGGUUAAUUGAUGGGGUCAGCCGCAAGGCGAAGCUCCUGAUCGAAGCCCCAGUAAACGGCGGCCGUAACUAUAACGGUCCUAAGGUAGCGAAAUUCCUUGUCGGGUAAGUUCCGACCUGCACGAAUGGCGUAAUGAUGGCCAGGCUGUCUCCACCCGAGACUCAGUGAAAUUGAACUCGCUGUGAAGAUGCAGUGUACCCGCGGCAAGACGGAAAGACCCCGUGAACCUUUACUAUAGCUUGACACUGAACAUUGAGCCUUGAUGUGUAGGAUAGGUGGGAGGCUUUGAAGUGUGGACGCCAGUCUGCAUGGAGCCAACCUUGAAAUACCACCCUUUAACGUUUGAUGUUCUAACCUAGGCCCAUAAACUGGGUCGGGGACCGUGUCUGGUGGGUAGUUUGACUGGGGCGGUCUCCUCCUAAAGAGUAACGGAGGAGCACGAAGGUUGGCUAAGCAUGGUCGGACAUCAUGCGGUUAGUGCAAAGGCAUAAGCCAGCUUGACUGCGAGAGUGACGGCUCGAGCAGGUACGAAAGUAGGUCUUAGUGAUCCGGUGGUUCUGAAUGGAAGGGCCAUCGCUCAACGGAUAAAAGGUACUCCGGGGAUAACAGGCUGAUACCGCCCAAGAGUUCAUAUCGACGGCGGUGUUUGGCACCUCGAUGUCGGCUCAUCACAUCCUGGGGCUGAAGUAGGUCCCAAGGGUAUGGCUGUUCGCCAUUUAAAGUGGUACGCGAGCUGGGUUUAGAACGUCGUGAGACAGUUCGGUCCCUAUCUGCCGUGGGCGUUGGAAGAUUGAGAGGGGUUGCUCCUAGUACGAGAGGACCGGAGUGAACGCACCACUGGUGUUCGGGUUGUCAUGCCAAUGGCAUUGCCCGGUAGCUAAGUGCGGAAGAGAUAACCGCUGAAAGCAUCUAAGCGGGAAACUUGCCUCGAGAUGAGUCUUACCUGUCGCUUUAAGCGACCUAAAGGAACGUUUAAGACUAAGACGUUGAUAGGCUGGAUGUGUAAGCGUAGCGAUACGUUGAGCUAACCAGUACUAAUGAACCGUGAGGCUUAACCUGACAACACCGAAAGUGUUUUG
rnacentral:rRNA from 1 species